AUUGAACGCUGGCGGCAGGCCUAACACAUGCAAGUCGAGCGGAUGAAGGGAGCUUGCUCCUGGAUUCAGCGGCGGACGGGUGGGUAAUGCCUAGGAAUCUGCCUGGUAGUGGGGGAUAACGUCCGGAAACGGGCGCUAAUACCGCAUACGUCCUGAGGGAGAAAGUGGGGGAUCUUCGGACCUCACGCUAUCAGAUGAGCCUAGGUCGGAUUAGCUAGUUGGGGGGGUAAAGGCCUACCAAGGCGACGAUCCGUAACUGGUCUGAGAGGAUGAGCAGUCACACUGGAACUGAGAAACGGCCCAGCCUCCUAGGGGAGGCAGCGGGGGGGAAAAUUGGACAUUGGGGGAAAGCCUAUUCCAGCCAUGCGGGGUGGGUGAAGAAGGUCUUCGGUUUGUAAAGCACUUUAAGUUGGGAGGAAGGGCAGUAAGCUAAUACCUGGCUGUUUUGACGUUACCAACAGAAGAAGCACCGGCUAACUUCGG
rnacentral:rRNA from 1 species